UAGGGAAUAUUGGACAAUGGGCGCAAGCCUGAUCCAGCCAUCCCGCGUGAAGGAUUAAGGUCCUAUGGAUUGUAAACUUCUUUUCUCUGGGAAUAAAAACCGGUAUUUAUACUGGCUUGAAGGUACCAGAGGAAUAAGCACCGGCUAACUCCGUGCCAGCAGCCGCGGUAAUACGGAGGGUGCAAGCGUUAUCCGGAUUCACUGGGUUUAAAGGGUGCGUAGGUGGCUUUGUAAGUCAGUGGUGAAAGCCCGGAGCUUAACCUGGGAAGUGCAUUGGAAACUGCUCGUCUUGAGUACUGGAGAGGAAGGGGGAAUUCCCGGUGUAGAGGUGAAAUUCGUAGAGAUCGGGAGGAAUACCAGUGGCGAAGGCAGCUAACGAAACUAUAACUGACGCUGAGGCACGAAAGUGCGGGGAUCAAACA
rnacentral:rRNA from 1 species